rnacentral:rRNA from 1 species
AUUGGAAGGGGUGUAUUUAUUAGAUUAAAAACCAAUGCCCUCCGGGGCUCACUGGUGAUUCAUAAUAACUUCUCGAAUCGCAUGGCCUUGCGCCGGCGAUGGUUCAUUCAAAUUUCUUCCCUAUCAACUUUCGAUGUUUGGGUAUUGGCCAAACAUGGUUGCAACGGGUAACGGGGAAUUAGGGUUCGAUUCCGGAGAAGGAGCCUGAGAAACGGCUACUACAUCCAAGGAAGGCAGCAGGCGCGCAAAUUACCCAAUCCCGACUCGGGGAGGUAGUGACAAUAAAUACUGAUACAGGGCUCUUUUGGGUCUUGUAAUUGGAAUGAGUACAAUUUAAAUCCCUUAACGAGGAACAAUUGGAGGGCAAGUCUGGUGCCAGCAGCCGCGGUAAUUCCAGCUCCAAUAGCGUAUAUUAAAGUUGUUGUGGUUAAAAAGCUCGUAGUUGAACCUUAGGCCUGGCUGGCCGGUCCGCCUCACCGCGUGUACUGGACCGGCCGGGCCUUUCCCUCUGUGGAACCCCAUGCCCUUCACUGGGUGUGGCGGGGAACCAGGACUUUUAC